AGGACGAACGCUGGCGGCGUGCUUAACACAUGCAAGUCGAGCGGUAAGGCCUUUCGGGGUACACGAGCGGCGAACGGGUGAGUAACACGUGGGUGAUCUGCCCUGCACUUCGGGAUAAGCCUGGGAAACUGGGUCUAAUACCGGAUAUGACCUCCUAUCGCAUGGUGGGUGGUGGAAAGAUUUAUCGGUGCAGGAUGGGCCCGCGGCCUAUCAGCUUGUUGGUGGGGUAAUGGCCUACCAAGGCGACGACGGGUAGCCGACCUGAGAGGGUGACCGGCCACACUGGGACUGAGACACGGCCCAGACUCCUACGGGAGCAGCAGGUAGGGAAUAGUGACACAAGUGGGACGAAAGCCUAGAUGCAGGCGACGCCGGCGGUAGGAGGAUCGGACCGGUCCGUUCGGGUUACGUAAACC
rnacentral:rRNA from 1 species